ensembl:lncRNA
GGGUGGGGGUGGGGGGCCAAGACUUUUCUGUAAGUGGGCGGGAGUGUGCAAUGACGACUUGUAAUUAUUAUCAGAACUCAAGGUAUAAAAGAAAUGUCCCUCAUGAUAAAUGAAAUAAAGUGUUAUAUUUGCAUGAUUUCCUGUAUUUUCAUGGAGCAGAUAUUAAUGGUUGUUUGAACCCAGUCGAUCACACUUCACAUUCAUGAGAGUAAAGUAAAUGGAGUGUAGAGCGUGUUUCUAGUCUUCUGACCACUCAAAGCGCUUUAAAACUACCUGACAUCAUUCACCCUUUCACACACUGAUGACAGGAGAACCAGACUCAGACCAACAUUCACACUGUCAUCGCAGCUACAGGAGCCAUGUGGGUUAAGUGUCUUGCCCAAGGACACAUGGACAUGCGGGUCAGCCGGGCCUGGGAUCGAACCGCCAACCCUCUGAUCGGCCCACGUUACCACGUUACUCACUUCCGUCUGUAAAUAUCAAUAGAGCCUUUUAUGACUAACUGGAGCUGGUUUCAUGGCGCCUUGUUCCUGUCUCAAGACGCCGUAUCUGAUCUUUCACAGUCCCCAGCGCCCGUUCAAAGACUAUUUAGUCUCCGAUGAUCUUGUGAACCUUCAGAUGACAGGCUAACAAAUCCCCCUUCCAACGCUCUCCAAUGAGACACAUUUGCAUUUCUGAAUCAAGGCUUCCAAUGCCACCACCUCACAGAAUGACUAGAUGCAUUACCACGGACCUUUAGCUGUUAAAACGGUUGCCAGCAGAGAGGAGUCCUUGCUCCCCAUCACAGCGCCAUACGCACAAGCCUGACAGCAUUUCUCUUGUGUUGCUCUCAAAAUGCAAAGAGGAGCCGCAAAAACCAGCUUUUAAUAUGAAAGAGGAAGUGCCGACAUGCGCAAGAACCAGUCGAAGAAGGUCAGCUGACUGAUGUUUGAGUGCGUGUGUGAGGAUGAGGGGAAGGAAAGAGGAAACAUUUACACCAAAUUACACACUCUUACACACUCAGACAAGUCAUGUGUUAUCUGUAUACAUAUAUAUAUGGGUUUAUAUAUGUAUAUAUAUAUAUAUAUAUAUAAAAAACCCACAUUCAAUUCACAAAUAAAUAGGGUUGUACUACAUACUAAAAUUACAUUCACCUUGUGCAGCUGCUGCAUUGAAAUCCUGAGGUAGCUGCGGAAUUAAUACCAAGAUCGGCUGCAGAAUAAACGCCUAUAGGGGCUGUGUAAUAAACACCUCUGGGGGCUGUGUAAUAAACACAUAUAGGCAGUGCUGUAGUGGUAAAAUUAGAGGUGGGUAAAUUCUGAAUUUUGUGAUCAUACAGACCUCGACGCGAUGAGAAGCAACGCAACACAAAUGGCUAUAUUGCAUUAUGUUAUCAGUAAAAGUCAUAUACAAUCAAUGACAAUGAAUACAUGUGUUAGUAGUUUGUAGUUUGUUAAAUUUAAGAAAACAGUAAAGAAAAGUAUGUCAACACAACACAACAAGACAAUUGCAGAUUAAGAACUAUCUACAUAUGGAGUCUCCUUUUCACAGUAGUGCCCAGAGGGCCUCCUUGUCCUCCACGUCAGGUCCUGCCUUGCACAGAGGAGCCAUGAACCCCAGAACACGUGUUCCUCUGUGCUUCUCCUCUCUCUAUUGGAUCUGGUGUUUCUGCUAUAUGUUCAACAAUAGGAAAAGUAAUCUUAGCUGUUUUAAAAUUACACCAAGUUUAUUUCGGAUUAUUCCAACGGAAGAAUACAAGGCGCAGGGAACUUUGAGGUGCGUAAACGCUAUUUAGAGGUGCGUAAACGCUAUUUAUAGGUGCGUAAAUGCUAUUUCCAAAAUUCUAGAUGUGCGUAAACGGCGUUUACGUACGUUUACCCUCCACUACAGCCCUGCUUAUAGGGGCUGUGUAAUAAACAUCUAUAAGCUGUGUAAUAAACACCUCUGGGGGCUGUGUAUUAAACAUCCAUAAGGCUGUAAUAAACAUAUAUACGUCUAUGUAAUAAACACAUAUAGGGGCUGUGUAAUAAACAUCUAUAAGCUGUGUAAUAAACACAUAGGGGCUGUGUAAUAAACAUCUAUAAGUCUGUGUAAUAAACACAUAUAGGGGCUGUGUAAUAAACAUCUAUAAUCUGUGUAAUAAACACAUAUAGGGGCUGUGUAAUAAACAUCUAUAAGUCUGUGUAAUAAACACAUAUAGGGGCUGUGUAAUAAACAUCUAUAAGUCUGUGUAAUAAACACAUAUAGGGGCUGUGUAAUAAACAUCUAUAAG